GCCUGAGACCCCGAGCCAGAUCUCUGGGGGUGAGCAGGAGUAUGUGGUGUAGGGAGGAGGACGAGUGCGCCGCGCUUGGCUCUAGGGUCAGAGGGAGCGCGAUGAUCUAGAGAGCCUUGCCACCGCAGUUUGGGAUGAGGGGGAGUUCGGGGCCUGAGAAGGUGGGCGCGAUGCUGGAGCUGGGCAUCCUUCCUCGGAGCCCCUGGACCGAGUUGCGCUGCGCCUGCAGCAACAGGUAGCCCCGAGGGGUGGAUGGAGGCUCUGGCCGAAUCCGGAGCUGGCCUUUGUCCUGCCACUUGGAGGGCUCUCCCGAGGGACAGCGUGGGUGGGGGUAGGUGGGGAAGGGCGGGAGAGGAGAGCUUCCUAACACUUGGAGCCCCUGUGAGUGGUUCUGUGUGUUGGGGUGGAGGAGGGUGCGUCCGAGAGGAGGAAGGAUGAUGAGGCGGCUAGCCUGCGCCCCACCUCUGAUUGUGUAAGCGCCUUUCUCGGGGUUGACCCCUACCCUUUGGAUUUUGAAUUUGGGGAUGAGGAAAGACGGACGGAAACUCGAUGCCCAAGUGAAUGGUGGUUCACACUGAUUGGCAGGGAAAGUGCAAACAAAGAGGUGCAUCUCCGGGAAACGAUGAUUUUGGAGAUCCCCUGCCCACCACCGGACUUGUGCGCGGUGCGGAGGGGGCCAGGGCUGGCAUCUCCGGAGAAAGUUUCCAGCCAGGCAGUGGGAGGAGACGCUCCGGGUAGAGUUGCGAGGAACUGGGGACCCAGCAGCCCCAGCUCGCCUCGGAGGUUCCCGAGCCGGGCGGGAGAUGCGGGGAAAGGGAGGGGGCUGGGAGGGAGGGGAGGGAGAGAGGAAGAAGGGGUGAGAGGGAGAAACCUGCCGCCGCUCGCCGCCUCUUUGUCUGCUCCGGGACUUGGAACAAAAGGGGGAAUUCUGAUGAACUCUCUUUCCUCCCCUCUCCCCCGGACGCCGGGGUAUCUCUCACAACUUUGCCGCCGCGACUUUCUCUGCUGUCAGGCCAGGAAAAAGUGUCCGAGCGCCUCGCAGACUGCAGCGGGGGAAAGGUCUCUUAAAAGUGCGACCAAGUGGGGAAGAAGCCAACAACAUGGAAGUACCAAGACAAGGUCAAAUCAUUCCUGA
rnacentral:lncRNA from 1 species